AUUGAACGCUGGCGGCAGGCCUAACACAUGCAAGUCGAGCGGAUGAGAAGAGCUUGCUCUUCGAUUCAGCGGCGGACGGGUGAGUAAUGCCUAGGAAUCUGCCUGGUAGUGGGGGACAACGUCUCGAAAGGGACGCUAAUACCGCAUACGUCCUACGGGAGAAAGCAGGGGACCUUCGGGCCUUGCGCUAUCAGAUGUGCCUAGGUCGGAUUAGCUUGUUGGUGAGGUAAUGGCUCACCAAGGCGACGAUCCGUAACUGGUCUGAGAGGAUGAUCAGUCACACUGGAACUGAGACACGGUCCAGACUCCUACGGGAGGCAGCAGUGGGAAAUAUUGGACAAUGGGCGAAAGCCUGAUCCAGCCAUGCCGCGUGUGUGAAGAAGGUCUUCGGAUUGUAAAGCACUUUAAGUUGGGAGGAAGGGCAGUCAGCGAAUACCUGGUUGUUUUGACGUUACCGACAGAAUAAGCACCGGCUAACUCUGUGCCAGCCGCCGCGGUAA
rnacentral:rRNA from 1 species